rnacentral:lncRNA from 10 species
UAAACCCAGGCAUUUGAGCCAGCAACGGCAACCUCCUUUGAGUCCCCUCCCUUUGUAUAGGAGCUCUGUUUUCACUGUGUUUCACUCUAUUAAAUCUUGCAAUUGCACUCUUCUGGUCCAUAUUUGUCACGGCUUGAGCUGAGCUUUCACUUGCCGUCCACCACUACUGUUUGCUGCUGUCACAGACCCGCCGCUGACUCCCAUCCCGCUGCUGACUCCCAUCCCUCCGGAUCCGGCAGGGUGUCCGCUGUGCUCCUGAUCCAGCAAGACUCCCAUUGCCACUCCCGAUAGUGCUAAAGGCUUGCCAUUGUUCCUGCAUGGCUAAGUGCCUGGGUUCGUCCUAAUCCAGCUGAACACUAGUCACUGGGUUCCACGGUUCUCUUCCAUGACCCGCGGCUUCUAAUAGAGCUAUAACACUCACCACAUGGCCCAAUAUUCCAUUCCUUGGAAUCCGUGAGGCCAAGAACCCCAGGUCAGAGAACACGAGGCUUGCCACCAUCUUGGAAGCAGCCUGCCACCAUCUUGGAAGUGGCUCACCACCGUCUUGGGAGUUCUGUGAACAAGGACCCCUGGUAACAUUUUGGCGACCACGAAGGGACAUCCAAAGCUGUGAGUAAUAUUGGACCACUUUCGCUUGCUAUUCUGUUCUAUCCUUAGAACUGGAGGAAAAUACUGGGCACCUGUCGCCAGUUAAAAAUGAUUAGCAUGGCCGCCGGACUUAAGACUCAGGUGUGAGGCUAUCUGGGAAAGGGCUUUCUAACAACCCCCAAGCCUUCUGUUGGGAACUUUGGUCUGCCUGGAGCCAGCUUCCACUUUCAAUUUUCUUGGGGAGAUAUGAAGAAUAGAGCCAAUAUUACAACAAAUAACCUUCAUGCCUGCAAAAACUUUUUCAGGCUUAACUAAUGCUUGUGAUGUUUAACGCCUGUCUUUUCAACUUGGUCUACUGAGUCUUCAAUACUGGUGACUGAGCUGCUUGAAGUGAACUCUGGACAAGGUGGAGAGCAUCUUCUUGAUUUAAGGAUAUCUUGCAGUAAGGGAAGCUCUGUCCUGAGAAGCCUUUACAGAGGCACAGGAAGAGGCCAGGACCUGAAGCCUCCCCCUCCCCCAAGAGUCACAUAAGUGAGCUUGGAAGAGGAACUUCAGCACCAACUGGCAAUGUAACUAGUGCUGCGUGAAAGACCCUGAACCAGAACCACCUAAAUAAGCCCCUUCCAGAUACCUGAGCCUUAGAAACUAUGUAAUAUAAUAAAGACUUGUUUGGGGGCAAUUUAUAACCCAGAACUGGAUAACCAAUACAGUUAUGUUUUUAACAAACAGCUGGCUGGGGUGAAGAGUGCAGGUUGAAACAACAAAAAUAAUUUUCCCCGUAGAAAUGUACCUCACCCAUAUGAAAAAUUAUACUUGCAAUCAGAUUCUCAGCAGCAGUGCUUUAAAGUACAUUUGUAUUUAUUUUUAAUUGACAAAUUAAAAAUUAUAUAUGUUUAUGGUGUAAAACAUGAUGCUUUGAUAUAGGUAUAAACCGUGGAAUGGCUAAAUUAAGCUAAUUAG